UAGCAUAUCAAUAAGCGGAGGAAAAGAAACCAACAGGGAUUGCCCCAGUAACGGCGAGUGAAGCGGCAACAGCUCAAAUUUGAAAUCUGGCCCCAGGCCCGAGUUGUAAUUUGCAGAGGAUGCUUUUGGCGCGGUGCCUUCCGAGUUCCCUGGAACGGGACGCCAUAGAGGGUGAGAGCCCCGUACGGUUGGACACCAAGCCUUUGUAAAGCUCCUUCGACGAGUCGAGUAGUUUGGGAAUGCUGCUCUAAAUGGGAGGUACAUUUCUUCUAAAGCUAAAUAUUGGCCAGAGACCGAUAGCGCACAAGUAGAGUGAUCGAAAGAUGAAAAGCACUUUGAAAAGAGGGUUAAACAGCACGUGAAAUUGUUAAAAGGGAAGCGCUUGUGACCAGACUUGCGUCCGGUGAAUCACCCAGCUCUCGCGGCUGGGGCACUUCGCCGGCACAGGCCAGCAUCAGCUUGCCGUCGGGGACAAAAGCUUCAGGAACGUGGCUCCUCUCGGGGAGUGUUAUAGCCUGUUGCAUAAUACCCUUCGGCGGGCUGAGGUACGCGCUCCGCAAGGAUGCUGGCGUAAUGGUCAUCAGCGACCCGUCUUGAAACACGGACCAAGGAGUCAACCUUAUGUGCGAGUGUUUGGGUGUUAAACCCCUACGCGUAAUGAAAGUGAACGCAGGUGAGAGCUUCGGCGCAUCAUCGACCGAUCCUGAUGUUCUCGGAUGGAUUUGAGUAAGAGCAUAUAGGGUUGGACCCGAAAGAAGGUGAACUAUGCGUGUGUAGGGUGAAGCCAGAGGAAACUCUGGUGGAGGCUCGCAGCGGUUCUGACGUGCAAAUCGAUCGUCAAACAUGCGCAUGGGGGCGAAAGACUAAUCGAACCUUCUAGUAGCUGGUUUCCGC
rnacentral:rRNA from 1 species